UUGCAACUCUCAACUUUUUUACCAAAUUUGAUUUUUGAUUAGUUUUGCAAAUUAGGUGAGCAAGGACGAAGUAAAAGAUGGGCGUUGUUUCACUGUGUUUGUUGAGGUUAAAAGAUCCUAUCUUUUACCUUCUGAAAUACUAUUGGUGAAAUAUAGGCUUCUCGACGCACGGGUCGAAGGAAACGAAAGUUUGGUAGAGGAAUUGCUGCAAACAUAUGCUACACAAGACUAUGCGUUAAAGAAAAUCAAUGAUGAUGAAGUUUUGACCAAAAAGUAUGAGAUCCAGCUAAUAAGGGAUUUACCAGGAACGCAUGAUGCAGCCGAGGCUAAGGAGCUUCUAGCACGGAAGGUCGAUGGCAAGUGUUGGAUAAUUAAAGUCUUCUAUAUAGAUGAGCAAUUGCGUUGUGUUGGAAGCGUCCACUGCCCGAAUUGUCGAGAGGAAUUGUUUAUGAAAGGAUGUCCAAGUUGCUCGGAAAUGGAAAUGGAAAUGGAAAUGGAAAUGUAACUCAGACCUGUAAUGAGGUGGUAGAGAAUUGGUGAAUUCUUUAAGUUAUGAUAAUAAGAUCUCAA